rnacentral:sRNA from 1 species
AGCUCCUCUGGAUCGACGGCACGCGUGGUGAGCAGGUAGUCACGGAUCGCCAUCGCAUGGCGGCCCUC